CACGUAGGCGGAUUGGCAAGUUGGGGGUGAAAUCCCAGGGCUCAACCCUGGAACUGCCUCCAAAACUUCCAGUCUUGAGGUCGAGAGAGGUGAGUGGAAUUCCGAGUGUAGAGGUGAAAUUCGUAGAUAUCGGGAGGAAUACCGGUGGCGAAGGCGACUGUCUGGCUGAAUACUGACGCUGAGGUGCGAAAGCGUGGGGAGCAAACA
rnacentral:rRNA from 1 species